rnacentral:rRNA from 1 species
ACGAGUUUGAUCCUGGCUCAGGAUGAACGCUAGCGGGAGGCCUAAUACAUGCAAGUCGAACGGUAACAGGUAGCAAUACGCUGACGAGUGGCGCACGGGUGCGUAACGCGUACACAAUCUGCCUUAUACUGGGGCAUAGCCUUUGGAAACGAAGAAUAAUUCCCCAUAACAUAUAGAAGAGGCAUCUCUUUUAUAUUAAAGCUCAGGCGGUAUAAGAUGAGUGUGCGUCCGAUUAGGUAGUUGGUGAGGUAACGGCUCACCAAGCCAACGAUCGGUAGCUGGUCUGAGAGGAUGAUCAGCCACACGGGCACUGAGACACGGGCCCGACUCCUACGGGAGGCAGCAGUAGGGAAUAUUGGACAAUGGGCGCAAGCCUGAUCCAGCCAUCCCGCGUGAAGGAUGAAGGUCCUCUGGAUUGUAAACUUCUUUUCUUCGGGAAUAAAAACUGGGGUUCUCCUCAGCUUGAAGGUACCGAAGGAAUAAGCACCGGCUAACUCCGUG